CCUACGGGAGGCAGCAGUGAGGAAUAUUGGUCAAUGGGCGGAAGCCUGAACCAGCCAAGUAGCGUGAAGGAUGACUGCCCUACGCGUUGUAAACUUCUUUUAUAAAGGAAUAAAGGGAGGCACGUGUGCCUUUUUGUGUGUACUUGAUGAAUAAGGAUCGGCUAACUCCGUGCCAGCAGCCGCGGUAAUACGGAGGAUCCGAGCGUUAUCCGGAUUUAUUGGGUUUAAAGGGAGCGUAGAUGGGUUGUUAAGUCAGUUGUGAAAGUUUGCGGCUCAACCGUAAAAUUGCAAGUGAUACUGGCAGGCUUGAGUACAGUUGAGGUAGGCGGAAUUCGUGGUGUAGCGGUGAAAUGCUUAG
rnacentral:rRNA from 1 species